CGAUGUCCAAAAUGGCCGUUCGUUCUGUAAAAAUUGGGGAUGACACUCAAGUUUUCGUCAAUGAGUUGUGAAACACGUGAGGUGGCAGAGUCAGUGUUGGAGAGAAACUCAGAUGGAAACGGAAGGUGGUUCCAUUGUGCUGAAUGCUACAGCAGAAUUCUGCUGCGCACUGCGUGACAUUCCUACUUAAGGUCUGGCUGGCAACAGGGAUGAAGACGCUCAGGAAUUACUUGUGAUCCACAGAUAAAUGAAUACUUGGCAAAGGCAGUUUGAUUUAGCAUGUGUCAACACUGGAUACAGUCCAUUGCCCAUCUACAGUUACUUACUGCAGCUGCAACAGAAUUAGAAUAUAUUUUAAUUACAGUUGAAUUCCAUGAUAAUGGAUAUAUAAAUUACUGAACUGGAAACAUCCAACAGAAAUCCUAGAAAUGAAAGCACUCGUUAUACAAUAAGAAUGUGAUAGUUGAGAUGGUAGAACCUUUGUCUUCUUCUUGACAAGUGGGUCCUUCUGAAAUAAAAUGACGUAUAAUGUGAUAAAGUCCAUAAGCAUUUUGAAGGAAUGUCAGUUGACUUACAAGCUGUUACUUCCCAGAAGACUUGAGAGGUAAAUGAUUGAACGGAAGAAACGUCAGGAAGAAGAAGGUAAACGUGGAGCUUGGAAUGAAGUUGAGAUUGAGAUGAUGAAAAUUUGUACGUAAUGAGCGCUACAGUGGUCCAACCUCAGACUUCAAAGAAAAGGAGGGCUACAAACCAAAUGUUAAACUCAAGUACACAGAUUAUGAUGGACACGUACUUAACACAAAGGAGGCUUUCAGAUACCGGUCUCAUAAACUUCCAAAAAUAAAGUGUAGAAACGAAUGAAGAAAACUGAACAGGAGGGAGGCAACCAUAUCAAAAACAAAACUGCAAAUUCUUCAUGAAAUACGCUGGCACCAACUCUAAACUUUGGCGCGGACUUACGUUUUUAUUGUUUCUUACUGUCUGGAAUAACAUCUCUAUUUUAAAUAAGACACAGCUUGCAGCUGCUGACAGUGCCUGUGUGUACUGGAAGGAACGCUACAGAGUUCAUGUCACAUUCAAAUGAGUACAGUGGUUCUCCUGCUUCCUUAGGUAACCUGUUGGCACCUGUAAGCUGAAAAGUACAAUUUCUAGUGAUCUGUUGCUUGCUUAUAGGACAUGAGCCAGAUGAACAGCCUCUAUGCUAAAUCAGACAUGAAGUAAUUAUGUUUGGCCUUUCUUGAUUGCAGUAGCAAUAUUGUAUCCUUCCAAGGGAAGAAAGAAACCCUUGUUCAGUUGUAGGCCAGUAUGAACAGCUGUAAAAUUACACAAGCAACAGAAUCAGAAGAUGUACAGUCUACUGCACAUCAUUGUAAAGCCCCACUUACAUAUCACUGAAACAUUUGUAAUUGUUUACAAAAGUAACUUGGAUCAUCCUGGUCCGUCACACUAGUAACUGUAUAUAAGGUUUUUAACCACUGUCCAGUGUGAUUGAUAAAAGUUGUUUUUAAUUUUUCAUCCAUUACAUGUUCCAGUCGAAACGACCAUCUUCAGAAGGGUAUUAUCAACACAUGUGGAAACUGGAGUUACAUGACCAGAUGAUGGAUAGAGUCCAAAAUAAACCUUAUAGAUCUGUACAGCUUACACCAUUGUCAGAAUCCUUUAAAGUCUAUCUUAAUAUUAGUUAAAAAGAUAUUACAUUUAUAUCUAUGACAUGUAAUAGUAGUUUCCAUAUAUGUUGAUAAUACCCUUCUGAGGAUGGUCAUUUUAACUGGAACAUGUAGAGGAUGAAAAAUUGAAAACAGCUUUAAUUAUUUACAGUGGACAGUGGUUAAAAAUCUUAUACAUGGUUAUAAAAGUCCUGUGUUUAAUCCACAUGCAGAUGAUCAAGUGUCUUCUGUAGGUAUAUGAAAACUUGAAAGACACAUAGACUCGGCCAAUAAUAAUAUCAGGUCAUGAAACUGUGUAAGACUGAUCUUAAGGCAUCUUCUUGGAGGUGGUGAUAAUGAUUUGAACCCAAAAUGAGUAUAUACGUCAGUGCUGGACAUUAUCUGAAGUCUGAAUUGUAAUCCUGAUGUGUUACUAAUCUUCACUUAAGAAGGUACCCAGACAGACUACAGGUGUUCCCAAACUUACAUUUUUCUUGAUAUCAGUAAUGUAUAACUGUAAGUUGACAACCUCAGUCACAUAUAUUGCAGCCACUUAAUUAUUUAAGAUAGUUUGAAUAUGUUUUAGUCUUUGUUAAUAGAAAUUAACUUGAAGUCACAUAAUUACAAAAGUUGUUACACUUGUGUAUUUCUUCACGAAACAGGGAUUAUAAUUUAAAACAUGUACACCUACUCCAUUAGGUGCAUGUAGAAUAUGUUGUUCAGUUAAUGUGGUUACUUGCAAGGUUGGAAUUGUGUGUGGAGUUGAGUUCAGUUUGUAACAUUCUCAGAGCAGGCUGCUUAUGGUUAUUGAUGGUCAUUACUAUUUGUCCUUACCAUAGGUCAUUAAUUAUUCAGUAAAUGGUUUUCAGAGAAAAGGUAUGAGACACCUAUCAAAAGAAACGAAGAUUUUGUUUCUUUAUUGGUCAGUGUCCUGUUGAGAAAGGUACAAUAAAAUAGUUUCACUUUAAAUAUAUAUCAGCUUUAGGAAAAAUGAUGUAGAAAUGUUUUAAUUUCAUAAUAUAUUUGAAUGCACUAAAAGUUUCACUGUAAACUUGAGGUGGCAACGUGCAUUUAGAGCCCAGGCAGGGCCACUGAAGCGUCAGGCCGAUAGCUUUAAAUGGUUGCAGUGGUAGACUUGCCAUUUAUUAAUUUGUACAGAUUUCCUAACAGACUCACAUCUGUGAUGAAGACUUGUUCAAACAACGCUCUGAGAAUUGAUUUCAUUAUGUAAUGUAAUUCAUCUGAACUGAUCACAGUUCAGUUUAUUCAGUACAGCACAAUUACUGUAGUGUUGUAGUGUGCCAAUAUUUCUUGUUCAUAAGUGGAAGUACAGUCAUCUACAAACACCAGUGUUACAUGUGAGAUAUUCAUGGCAGUGAUCAUGACGAAGUUGGGAGUGAUGCUGUGUAGGUGAGUAGGCGUCUGACAACAUUUUGGAGGAACGUAACACCACCUUCAUAAGGGUAGACUUGUGCUACAUACAUUCUAUCACAUCCUGACUUUUCAGAAGUAUUAAUGAGGCUAAGUCUCCUGAAAUGUAAUGCUCUGUAAUUUGUUUUUACCAACACUGCAGACAGAUAUACUUCCUCCAUCUUCAGGAUGAAAAAUUGAAGCUGAAGGCAGUGUGUUCCUCUGAAAUGUCAUUAAACUUCUACCAACCUGCACAGUGUCAUAUCCCGUAUCAUCAGUCAAAUGAAACUGCUGUUUGUGGAUGACCUGACUUAAUAUUGUGACUGCAAACACAACAUGAUGCUUCAAUGCAUGUUAUUCAUGAAUGGGAACAGGGCAAACAUCUGUACGUACGUAAUCUACAUGUCUGAUAUCUGGAGUCAUCCUAAAGCUGGAGGCACACAUUCCACCAAAACAUUAGUAUCCACCUAUCAGACUGCAGCAUAGUGUGUUUCGCCAGAACGCUGGUGUCUGCCUGCCAGACUGCAACACAGUGUUAUAGCACACAAUGUCCCCACCAAGGAACUCGAUGAUUAUACAGCUUUCCAGUUUUGUCAGGAAAGUUGCAUCAAGGACUUGUAGCUGAGAUGGGGAAACACGAAUACAUACAAUAUUUUUGUUGGAACAUGCUGGAAAGCAUCCACUUGGCAAAGCAAAAGUGGUGGAUGGAAGAUAUCCAAACAAGAUCUUGACAAAACUGGUUAUAAGACUGUGGAUCAUGAUGUGUCCACUGGUGGGCUUUGGUAUUAGCAACAUUCGUCCUGGAAGGGUAUGCUGAAAAGUAAUGCCUCCAUAAGACAGUGAAAUGUAGUUCUGUCAACAAGACAGAGUUCUGUCAUGCCACACUUACAGAAGUACAGGUACUCCUUGGUAUAUGCAAGUUAAAAACAUGUUUCACUUUAAUGCAGUCAAUUAAUUUAGACUUGAAACACUUGCUUUAGUAUGAACUGCUUGCUGGCCAAUCAAGAGAAUUUGGAAGAAGGGGGCAUUAGGAUGCUGUGCAGUUGUGGAGGAGGAAUUGGAAGGGAGAAGAGAAAGGUUGGCCUACCUGGUGUCAUUGCACCCCCUGUGACUUCUUUUGGGAACACAACUAGUGCAUUAAUUGACGAAUACCUGUACAUGAAAUAUGUCAGGUGUGUCUGGACGGCAGAAGUGGUUGUUUGAGAGGUAAUUGUAUAAAAUAGGGAACAAAAUUCAAGGAAAGUAGCCAUUUCUAUUUCAAUGAAAUUGCUGUUAUGGAAAAGAAAUCGGGAGUCAUUACUUUCAGCAUGCCCUUGUACCAGCUCUGUCACCAGGAGAAGACAGAUACACUUCCCAAUGAAAUAUCCCACAUUGUGAAAUUGGAAAUUUCAUAAUCUCAAUUGGAAUCCACAUUAAAAUAUUUGUUGCUUAACCUCCAGUGGUGUCCUGCAUACAGAGCACACUUGCCAUUGUAUCACAUUACUACCUGGAACACAGAAUUUGUAUGGCAGCCAUGACUUCUGUCUCUAACAGUGAUAUUAUAUCAGAAGUGCCCAUUUUUUAUAACAUUUAAAAAAAAAUGCUAUAAGCUAUCUAUUCAUGUAUGGCUAGUCACAUUUUCAAUUUCCUGUGGCAUGUAACAAAUACUGUGUACAUCUGAAAUAAAACUACCCUGCUUUACGUUUUAA